CGUCCGCGGCCGGGGCCGAGGCGGACGGCGCUCGCCCGCUCGGCUCUGCGGGAGGGCGGACGGCGAAGGCGGAGUGGACCCCGCGCGCCCGCCCACUGCCCGUCCCUCCGGGGUGUGGGCUGGAAACGGAGCCCGCCGGGCCGGCGCGUCCCGGAUGGCGCUGCGCCCACCCUCCGGCCGAUUAGUUGGGACCAUCCCCGAACUCCGUCUGCCUCAUUGAAGAAACGUUCUAGGGGGCGAGGCGUGGUUUAUCCCGGAGCGAGGGGCCCGGGCGGUGGGAUCUUCGCGAGUUCUAGGCCAGCCAAGGCUGCGUAGCGCUACACCUUGCCCGUAACAACAACAACACAAAAGUUCCUGGAUGCCCAAAGUUACUCCUGAGAGAAACGUUCCAGAGAACUUCUGGGGCAAUCCAACUGAGUCUUGCGGCUUUCACUGACUUGUCUCGAUCUUCCGAAUCAUGCUGAUUCCUGUUGUUGCUUGGUGCUGGCCUUUGGACUGGACUGCUGGUAUCUGGACAUGAAGAAUGGACUCACCCCAAGGAACUAUUUUUAUAAAGGUCUACAACCCCCUUUAACUAAUAACCUUCUUUCUCCCCUACCUCAAUGGGUGGAAGGGAGGCUUUUAAGAACCCUAAUUAAGAUAGGUUUGGUGAAAAAUCUAAGCCUACACCUACCCUGAAGGAACUCAGAAGAGUGGGAGGGAGGAGCAGUCAACACUCACAUGCAGCCUGGUGUGACAUUAGUUGGCACAAAAGACAAAUGCUUAUGUUCUCUCCACCCCGCAUAAUUUCUGGGACAUUCUCUGGGUCUGAGGGUGAGGCUGCCCUCAAAGAUGAAAAGAGAGCAGAAAAGUUGGUGUAUUUCAGUAAUUGUGAAAGAUUUGCUCUCUAAAUUGUACGAAUUGUUAGCCAGUGUUCUCUAGAAGAAUAGAAUGAAUAGAAGAUAUAUAUAUAUACACACGUGUGUGUGGAACUUAUUAGAAUGACUUGGAAGCUGUAGUCCAGCUAAUCCAACAAUGUCUAACCAAAUAAAAGUCUAAGAAUCCAGUUGUUCUCCAGUCCACAAGGCUGGAUGUCUCAGCUGGUCUUCUUCAGGGAUCCUGAAGAAAAAGCUCUAACACCAGUGAAGGAAUGAACUGGUCAGAAGGAGUAAGGGCAACCAGGCAAGGAGCAAACACUUCCUUCUUCCUCAAUGCUUUAUACAGGCUACCAAUAGAAGGUGUGGCCAAAUUUAAGGUGGAUAUAUAUUCCCACAUCAAAAAAAAAAAAAAAAAAAAAAAAAAAAAGCCAGAUUUAGAGUGGGUCUUCUCACUUCAAAUGAUUCAACCAAAAAUCAUUUGAAAACAGAAACUUGAGUUUAGUUACUUCCAGAUGCAUCAAGUUGAUUAACAAGAAUAGCCGUCACAGCCACUAUAAAAAUAACUAUUUUUUAAUAAAGUGUUUUUAUAAUGUCCUUCUACGACAACCUCAAUGAUAACAUUAUUUCCUCCUACUUAGUUUUCCAAAACAUAAAGUUCAGUGACAUAAAUUUCUUCGUGUUAUGUCUCUGUUUUGUCUUAGAGAGACAAACAUGACCUAGAUUGCCCAUGUUCUUUCAAAUGCCAUCUCUGAAGCCAAUAGCUAGGCCACCUCCUGAUGAUGUCAUCAUAUUAUAAAUCUGCUAGGGGAUUGAUCAGUGUCCUUAGGUCAGAGCUGUCAGAAUCUAGUCUUUUACCCUAGGCAACCAGGUUUCACCACUUGAUCUUUGGGGCAGCUGUUUCUGAGUGUCAAAAAAAGGAGUGCAGAAAAAGGAUGUGCAUAAGACCCAAGUGCUUGCUCCUUACCCUUUUGGGUAUAUGACAUAAUGGAGCAUGUGAUGCCAGGCAAGACACCCUUCCUGAUUAUAUCUUGAAAGGGAGAAUCUAAAAUAUACAACUGUGAUGUACUACAAAAUGAGAGCUUGAAUAAGGCCAAUGUCUACUCACCAGUCCCUGGGAUACUGUUUCAGAGGAAGGAUCAACAGCUGAGUUGCCCUCAUUUAUACAGUAGAAAAUCUAUAGUUUUUUGUUUUUUGUUUUUUGUUUUUUGUUUUUUUUUUUUUUUUUUUUUUUUUUUUUGCUGCUGUUGUUUGAAGACAGAAUCCCAGGCUGGUUUUAAACUUGUGAUCGUCCUGCCUGGGCUUCCCAAAUUAUAGGAUUAUAAGCAAGCAUCACCAUGCUGGGUGUUACAGUUAGAAUCUCAAAUAUUUCCAUAGGCAGUGGGUGGUGUGGUUUAAGUGGUUGUGGAACUUCUCUGGUGUAAGGCCUGUCUGGCAGAAGCCACUGUCUGCAGGAUUAUACUCUAGCCUUGCUUCCAGGCUAAACAGAACUGGUUUUGUAAGGCCUUUUCCUCCCGAUUGCAACAUUCCUUCCAAAUUGAAACAACUCCUCCCAGAGGGAAGGAGGCUUAAAGGCUUUCUGAGCCUCUAAGAGGGAAGAAAAGGUCACAUGUAAGGAAAACUUUUUUUUUUUUUUUUUUUUGAGACAGGGUCACACUAGUUAGCUCUGGCUGUCCUAGAAUUCCCAGAGAUCUUCCUGCCUCUGCCUCCCAAGUAAGUGCUGGGAUCACAAAGGCAUUUGCCACCAUGCCCAGCGCUAGCUUGGAAGAUCCUUGAGAUCCCCUAUCCUAGAGUGUAGAAAGAAAUAAACAGUUGCUCAGAGACUCUGAGCAUUCAAACUGCAGGAUAAUGAUAAAUCAGUGUGUAGAGAGCUGUGUUGGGGUGGGCCGUUGGGUGGUGCUGGGUGGUGCGGCUGCUUUGGGUUAUCCCUGCUCCUGCUCCUUGUAAAUAACCCUGUACCCAUACUCCUGUAUUACCAAUAAAAACACUCACUGGCUCGCCAAGUUGGACACCAGUGCAACUGCAACUUU